GGUGAGUUUUGCCAUGGCGCCCGUGGAGCUGCCCCGAGGCUGAGCAGCGCCCGGCCCAGCCCUGGGGCCCUUUUUCCUCCCUCUGGGGCCCUGGGGAUGUUGUUGCUGCCUCUGGCUCAGGUGCAGGAUGGGCGAGCGACUGGAGCUGCAGACUAGGAGGGGAGGAAAAGACAGACAGACAGAAGUGCCUGAACUCCACAGCUUGCCUGGCAGUGCAGAGAGCAGGAACUGUGGAGUAUUGCUCUGUGAGCCUGGAAACCUCUCUGGUCUGUGCUUGACUCCAGGCCAUGGCACUGGCAGAGUUGAUGGAGCUUCUCAGCUGGAUCCUGGUUAUGAGCCUUGGGCUGUCCCAGAGGUGACUGAGGAAGAAGGAGAUCACAACAUGCCAUGGAAGCUCCUCCCCUGUGUUUGACUCCCUGUUUGGUUCCUGCAGUCCAUGGUGAUCAAGCCUCUUGGUGUAAUCCUGUUCCUGAGCCUGGGGGCAAUCCCAGGGCCGUCCCUGUAGGCAGCGGCUACUUGACUUCUUGACUUGAGUCUGUCCGUGAGCCUCGGGGCGAUCCCACAGUGAAGUUCUCAGUGUGCCAGAGCAUCUGGGAGACCUCUGACCCUUUCCUGGACCUGGUGCUGGAGAUCAG